GUUGUAUGGUUAAGUGACUAAGCGUAUGUGGUGGAUGCCUUGGCAGUUAGAGGCGAUGAAGGACGUGUUAAUCUGCGAAAAGCUGAGUUAAGGUGAUAAAAACCGUUAUAGGCUCAGAUGUCCGAAUGGGGGAACCCACCCAACGUAAGUUGGGUAUCCUAACGUGAAUACAUAGCGUUAGGAGGCGAACCGGGAGAACUGAAACAUCUAAGUACCCCGAGGAAAAGAAAUCAACCGAGAUUUCCUUAGUAGCGGCGAGCGAACGGGAAUUAGCCCUUAAGUGGUUUGUACAUUAGUGGAAUGAGCUGGAAAGCUCAGCGAUACAGGGUGAUAGCCCCGUACACGAAAAUAAACUUACCGUGAAAUCGAGUAGGUCGGGACACGAGAAAUCUUGACUGAAUAUGGGGGGACCAUCCUCCAAGGCUAAAUACUCCUAACUGACCGAUAGUGAACCAGUACCGUGAGGGAAAGGCGAAAAGAACCCCUGUGAGGGGAGUGAAAUAGAACCUGAAACCGCAUACGUACAAGCAGUGGAAGCCAGAUUUAGUCUGGUGCCUGCGUACCUUUUGUAUAAUGGGUCAGCGACUUAUGUUCUGUAGCAAGGUUAACCGAAUAGGGGAGCCGUAGCGAAAGCGAGUGUUAACUGCGCGUUUAGUUGCAGGGCAUAGACCCGAAACCCGGCGAUCUACCCAUGGGCAGGUUGAAGGUUGAGUAACAUCAACUGGAGGACCGAACACACGUAUGUUGAAAAAUGCGGUGAUGACUUGUGGGUCGGAGUGAAAGGCUAAUCAAGCCGGGAGAUAGCUGGUUCUCCCCGAAAUCUAUUUAGGUAGAGCCUCGCACGAACACCAUUGGGGGUAGAGCACUGUUAAGGCUAGGGGGUCAUCCCGACUUACCAACCCUUUGCAAACUCCGAAUACCAAUGAGUGAUAUGCGGGAGACACACUACGGGUGCUAACGUCCGUUGUGAAGAGGGAAACAACCCAGACCGCCAGCUAAGGUCCCAAAGUCAUAGUUAAGUGGGAAACGAUGUGGAAAGGCAUAGACAGCUAGGAGGUUGGCUUAGAAGCAGCCACCCUUUAAAGAAAGCGUAAUAGCUCACUAGUCGAGUCGGUCUGCGCGGAAGAUGUAACGGGGCUAAACUAUGCACCGAAGCUGCGGAUUCAGAAUUUAUUCUGAGUGGUAGGGGAGCGUUCUGUAAGCCGUUGAAGGUGAAUCGUAAGGUUUGCUGGAGGUAUCAGAAGUGCGAAUGCUGACAUGAGUAACGAUAAGGGGAGUGAAAAACUCCCCCGCCGAAAGACCAAGGUUUCCUGUCCCAUGUUAAUCAGGGCAGGGUAAGUCGGCCCCUAAGGCGAGGCGGAAACGCGUAGUCGAUGGGAAACAGAUUAAUAUUUCUGUACUUCUAUAUAUUGCGAAGGAGGGACGGAGAAGGCUAAGCAAGCAUGGCGCUGGUUGUCCAUGUGAAAGUAUGUAGGUUGGUGACUUAGGUAAAUCCGGGUUGCUAAGACUGAGAUACGAGACGAGAUUCUACGGANCAGGGUAAGUCGGCCCCUAAGGCGAGGCGGAAACGCGUAGUCGAUGGGAAACAGAUUAAUAUUUCUGUACUUCUAUAUAUUGCGAAGGAGGGACGGAGAAGGCUAAGCAAGCAUGGCGCUGGUUGUCCAUGUGAAAGUAUGUAGGUUGGGGAUUUAGGUAAAUCCGGAUCCCUAAGACUGAGAUACGAGACGAGGCUCUACGGAGCUGAAGUUGUUGAUGCCAUACUUCCAGGAAAAGCUUCUAAGCUUCAGAUAUAUAGGAACCGUACCCCAAACCGACACAGGUGGUUAGGUAGAGAAUACUAAGGCGCUUGAGAGAACUCGGGUGAAGGAACUAGGCAAAAUAGUACCGUAACUUCGGGAGNGGGCAGGGUAAGUCGGCCCCUAAGGCGAGGCGGAAACGCGUAGUCGAUGGGAAACAGAUUAAUAUUUCUGUACUUCUAUAUAUUGCGAAGGAGGGACGGAGAAGGCUAAGCAAGCAUGGCGCUGGUUGUCCAUGUGAAAGUAUGUAGGUUGGGAGUUUAGGUAAAUCCGGAUUCCUAAGACUGAGAUACGAGACGAGACUCUACGGAGUUGAAGUUGUUGAUGCCAUACUUCCAGGAAAAGCUUCUAAGCUUCAGAUAUAUAGGAACCGUACCCCAAACCGACACAGGUGGUUAGGUAGAGAAUACUAAGGCGCUUGAGAGAACUCGGGUGAAGGAACUAGGCAAAAU
rnacentral:rRNA from 1 species